UCUCCGGUAGCUUAGUGGGUGAGAGCACUGGACUGGUGAUUCGGAGGUUGCGGGUUCGAAUCUCGCUCGAGGAG